UCUGCUCAGUCCUAGAGGAUGAGCCAAAUAGUCAGUCCCCUGCGGUAUCUGGGUAGCUCUGGGCCAGAACCAUCACUAGCAGCUCUGGUGUCUGGGAGCCUGAUGGCAGAGGGGCCAUGGACAGGCAGACUCCAAAGAAGCUCCUGUAUUCACCCACUCAUUCAACAUUGACUGAGCACCUACUACAUGCCAGGUGACCAAAAACAUCUAAGUAAGCCAGGCUGGGGCAGCAUCCUCCAUCACACAGGGUGUUGCCCACACUGGACAGCAAAAUCUUGACUCCAGGUGUCAAGCAGAAUCCACCUGGUCCUGGCUGGGAGAGACAAGCAUGCCUGGAAGACUUCUUUGUUUAACUCAGGUCUUUACUAAGCUAAGAAGAUCUGCUUGAAACCACUGACCCACACUUUGGAAUGAGAAGCAAGGAUAGUGCACCACUUACUACAGUUCUUCCAUGUCCUCAACCCUUUUCACCAAGGAGCCUCAGCCAGGGGAUCAAAAUGACUGUCUGUCUCCAGCCGAGAUGUCUGUCCUCCUGCUGUUGCCCAAUCCCCACAUUCCUAUCCUCCAUCGGCCAUCCUGCGGGAUAAGGCUGCUGGGCUGGCAUCUCUGACCUGGGUCCCUGCUACUGCUGCCAGACUGAGUCUCAUCCACAAAUGCAGUUGUCUGAGAAAUAUAAAUUUAAAAUUGUUUCUAUAACUUUAUUUCUAUUUUAAUUUCCACCUGAUGGUCAGAAACAUAUUUUCCAUUUAUUCUGGAUUUCCUCUCCCUGUUUUUCCCAGGAUGGUGUUGAAGCACCAUGAACGUGAUUGGUGUUGAAGGAGACUGGAAAGAAUUCGGUCCUUUUUUUUUUUUUUUUAGGACCACGCCUGUGACAUAUGGAAGUUCCCAGGUUAGGGGUUGAAUAGGAGCUGCAGCUGCCAGCCUACACCAUGGCCAGGGCAAUGCCAGAUCUGAGCCAUGUCUGCUACCUACACUGCAGCUCACGGAAACACUGGAUCUUAACUUACUGAGGGAGGCCAGGGAUCAAAUCUGCAUCCUCAUAGAGACUAGUUGGGUUCCUAACCCACUGUGCUACAAUAAGAACUCCAAGGACUUGGUCUUUGAGUCUCUUGUCAGUGAAGGUCCCAUGUGAGGUGGCUGCUGAGCCUGUCCACUAAGUCCCCCAAAGUCAAGGCUGUCUUUGCCAAGCAUAGACAUGGCAGUGAGUUCCCUCUACUGUUCCCAUGGGACCCAGCCUACUCUGCAAACCCUCUCCAGGCGCUCAACUUCCAGGACUAACUCUGUCCAGGAAAACCAUCAAGGAGGCUACCCUGGGACUCCAUUCCCAGUCCUGAGGAGCAUUUUUUUAAAGAUACCAGAGGGGACAAUCCUUUUCCAUCCUUGAGGUUUUUUUUCCCUUAGAGAAAUCCCCUGUACCUUCAGGUUUGCUUUAGAGGCACAAAACAUAUUCUUAAUGGGUUUGUGCUUUGGGAAACCAAGAUGGAGGAAGCUCUCCCUUCGGUCUUCUUCAUUUUUAAAAAAGGAAGUGUUUCUUCUUGUCAGCCUUAUUUCCAUUUUCUGUUUAAGUGUCUGGGGCAGAACAGCUAAGACUCCUUCAUGGUGCUUCCUCCCCAUUCAGAAGCCUGAGCAGUGGGUGCUGCAGACUCCAUCUCAGCAGCUGGCUGGGCAUCCCAGUCCUCAGCAAAGAACCCCUGAGUGGGCACAGCCCCGGCUACGACCUCGGGUUGAGUAGCAGUCAGCUCAGGAAUGGGGCAAUGCAGUUGCCCCAACAUUCUUGCUUGCAUAGCCCUUCGGGGGCAGCUGCUCACCUUUUCAGACUCUGGGGAUGUCUGAAGAAGUAGAGACCAGGCAUGCCCUCCAUGGGUGUUCACAGGGGAGGGUAUCAUGUACAUGCUUAACUUGCUGGGCCCACAGCGACCGCUCCAGAUGUGCUGAGGGCACUCCCUUGUGGUUGCACCAGCGGCCAUGUCCACAGGGCACAGCCAUGGCGUGGGUUGACAUUCUGGGAGAGGCUGGUGGGCAGCCCCGGGGUCAGGAACUUCCAGAAGCCAUGGUUCCCAGAGGGCUGCCCAGAUCAGAUCAGAUGCCACCACGGCUCGUGGGCCAGGCUUCCUAGAGGAUGUGAGUCAUUAAGCAGGUUCACAAUGGCAACAAUGGCGCAAGCUGCUAGCAGAAGCUUCUCCCGGGUUGUCUUCAGGUUUACGAGGCAGAAGCCAUCACCCCUCCUUUUGGAGACACAGUGUUCCAUUUGGAAGUCAAGGUGGUGGCACUUAAGUGGGUGCCCACUGCAAAGAGUUUGAGGACACUGUCUUCAUUGGCAGGACAUCAAGGGCUCCUUUAAGUUACCACAGGGAACCCAGAACGAGGCUGCGUGGCCUCCUCCCUGCGAAGCGAGGGAAGGGCAUCUCCAUUUCUGUAGCUGUGCCAUCCCCCGAUGCAGGAUGAAGGGAGAUGCAGGGAAAGGGAAGGGUCACCCGGAGGGCGUUGUCUUAAACCUGGUCAUUUCUCAAAAACGUUAUUCUACCACCCCGAGAGCUCUUAUCCCUGCAUAAAUGAACUUCCAGGCUCACUCUAAGAACCAUCUUUCAUCUACUGGUUCAGUGUGGCUCCGUGCUAUGUGCCUAGAUUUACCUCUGCUCCCCAACCCUGUUCUUCUCUCUCUAAUGGUAAAUCUCAGCCCUGCUCUGAAGCCACAGAGGUAGAUAUGAUGUGGCCUGCUGGAAAAACCAUGCACAUCUGUGCUCAUCGGAUCCCCCACGAGCCCUAACUCCACCACACAGGCUCCUCGGGGUCAGUCAAUCAUUACGCAUGUCCCAGGCUGCAGCCACUGGGGAACUUCACCGGGUACCUACUUUGAACCUCCAUGAAGGGGGUUACUAGGCUCCAAAGAGGAAAAGCACAGACAGGCUGUGCUCAAGAGCUUACAGCACAGGAGAAAAGAGCACAGAAUGUGUGGUUCAAGGCAAGAAAAGGAAUUCGUUUUUGAACAUGCACCGUCUGAGCUGACUGGUAGCGAUUUCUGGAGUUGGGGAUGGAGCCAUUAAGAUACAGGUGACAAUUCAACACUGAUAGGGGACAAGACCACCACUGAGAACACAUCUAAUGCUUGCUAUGUCCCAAGCCACGAGAUGCACUACUAUCUUCACCUGCAUUCUCUCUCUGAAUGAGGCUGCUGUCAUUGCUACUCCCGGUCAAAAAUGAGAAAACCUUACAAGAACUUCUCCCGCGGCCUUGGAGCUGAGAGGCAAGGUCAGGCUGAAGGGCUCUGAGUCCAUGCUCCUAACCAGGGUGCCACUCGGCUUGAUCGGAUGGCAGUUUUGCUCCUUACAUGCCCCGCCCCGCCCUCCACGGUGAGUAACUGGGGGAGUGGGCCCCUCGUUGUCUACUGGAGUACCAGGGCACAGUGCACACACGUCCUCUCGUCAGAACUGUUCACCGGCCUAAGGCUUCAUCUUCACCAUGUGGCCAAUUUUACCUCAGAACUUCAAUUUGUUGUUUUUUAGGGCCGCACCGGGGGCAUAUGGAAGUUUCCAGGCCAGGGGCUGAAUAGAAGCCACAGCCGCCAGCCACAUGGGAUCUGAGCUGAGUCUGCAACUUACACCACAGUUCAGGGCAAUGCUGGAUCCCCGACCCAAUGAGUGAAGACAGGGAUCAAACCCGCAUCCUCAUGGAUCCUAAUUGGAUUCAUUUCUACUGCACCACAACGGGAACUCCCAGAACUUCAAUUUAAUUCCACAAAAUAUUGUUGAAUAUCUAAAGAAGUGGGUUUCAAAGAUAAAUAAGAUCUGACCCCUUGCUCACCUGGGGAUAGUUCUGAUGGCGAGCAGGGAGGAGGGAGAGAGAAAAGCAGAGAAACCACCAAACUCACAGUGUGGGAGUGAGAAGCUUCUGGGCUCCAAGCCAGGUUGCAAAGCCACCAAUACCCAUGGGCACCUCAGGCAAGCUUGGUACAGGGCUGACUUCCCCACUGAGCUCAGCAGGAAGAGUGCCUGGGACCCAUGAUACUUUCUGGGACCUCAAACUAUUUUUACUUUCCUUUUAAAAUAAAAAAAAAAGAAAUAAUAAUAAACCCAGCUUGGAUUAUACCUGCCUUGGGCCAACAUAACUAUAAACAAUGUAACAUAUUUACUUACUUUUAGAGGUAGGCACCCAAGAAAGCAAAGGUGUGUGGGGCCCGAAAAAGUCCUAGUGUGGCUCUGCCAUGACAGCCAAACACCAGCCAUUCAAUGACAGCCACACCAGUCAUUCAGUGACAGCCAAACCUGGUCUUAUAGGACACAGAGAACUAUCUUCAACUUUGAAGAGAACACUGUGAAACUUGUGGUAAUGUUUUAUCAUUGAUCUCAAAAGGGGAUUCGACAACUCAAGGUUCAAACAUGGGAGGGAAACAAUUUUAGAAGCAUGAAAUUUGCCUUUAUAAGAUCAGGGAAAGAUCUAAAUACCAGCAUCCCUUUCAUGGCCCCCAAAGAGCAUUACUUUGGGUCCCAAACUCUGGAAUUAGUAAAAAUCGGUUGCUGAGAAUGGAGCCUGAUCUCUCUUCCUGCCCUAGUGAGGAUGCCAAACAUCAAAAGCCAACGCCACACUCUGGAAACAAGUGAGUAAUCCAUGCCUGCUGCUGGAGACUCACAAGGGGAGGCGGGGCCAUCUCACAGGCUGCAAUCUCAGGUUGGGUGUGUUGGUGGGGACAAGAGGCGUGCCCCAGCCCAUGACAGCUGCUGGCUGGAGAGACAGGUUCUUGUUACCAGGCAGGGCCUCCCUGAGAAGGCUGGAGGGCCUCAAAGGAGGUGCCAAAGCUGGGGCCCCCAAGCACUCCAGAAGGAUGCGAAGAGGGGGAUGCAGGCUUCGCCAGGCCAAGGGUCCCAGAGGGGAUGGGAAGGACAGGGCAGUCAGUGGGAACCCAGAGAUCCAGGGCUCCAGAGGGCUGCCUGCUCCUCAAACCCCUCAAGGGAUGGCUCUGGGUUAAGCUUCUUUCAAAACCAGCACAAGGACUUGGAAUUAGGGUGAGGGCUGUUUAGAUAACACGGUGAAGGCAAAGAUCAGACUAUGAGUCACGUCUGCAAAUGCUGACAGAGUCCACCUCCUACCUGAAGGGCAAAGUGACAUUUCUCGCUCUUUCCCCAAAUAAAUCUUCCCUGCACAGCAUUCUCUGAGGACCUUAAGGCCUGUCAAGGACUUGGCCCUGAGCUCAUUGAAAUCACAGUAAUUGCCAAGUUUUGCAGAUGUUUGCACUGACUGCUUUAUGUUUUGCAAUAUUCCAGAGCUGUUCCCAAGUGACGUUCAUCCAUUCACCAAGUUAAUGCUUAAUAAGAAUGAUCAACAAAGGGUGACAGCUCCAAAAGAUGAGGAGAGGGAAAACCACCUCCAAUGAGCACAGUGAGCAAAAUAAAUAAAUAAAUACGGUGUUGUUCCUGAUAGAUAGACUGAGGUGCAGAGAAGGGAACCUGCACAGCAAUUCCUGGGGGCGGCGGGAAUGGGGGCAGCGGGAACGAGGGCGACAAUGUUUUACGAGCAUGUUUCUUUUUCUCAGCAGUGACAGGAGACCCCAACUGGGCUUGGAAAUGCUCCCACUGCACUCAGGCUGAGUCGAUGUGAAUGUACAGAUGAGCUAUACCUGAAACAUACAAGGUGAGCUCAUUGGGAAAGUUUGGUUAAUUCUGAAGGGAACACACUGAUCCCAAAGCUACAGAAAUGGAAGGAUCAUUCCUACUUUUUAACCUGCCUUUGUCUUUAUCUAUAUCAUCUCACUUAAUGUUUGCAAAAAUUCUAUGGGCACUGACCGGUAUUAAUAUCUCUACAAAAAGAGAGAGGUUAAAGAAUUUCUUGAAGAUCAAUCAACAAUUUAGUGGCAUAUGUGGGAUUAAAAGACAGGUCUUUAUUCCCUCCCACUAUUUGUGUGAUGCAGAAAAUGUUAAAUUGCCUUUAUAGUUAAGAUACUUAAUGUAUAUAAUCCUCACCUCCAUCCUGCAAAGUGGUAUUAUCUUCAUUUAAAGGUGGCAAAAUUAAAGUUCAGGGAGAGAGAUCACACAACAGACCCAAGGUCACAAUUAUUUCAACAAAUGUUAGGUUUCAUUUUGUGCCAAGCUGGAGGCAGAGGCUUCUCAGUUAUCCACCAGAGCAAGCAUAAUUCAGAAAAAAAAAAAAAAAAAAAAAAAAAAA
rnacentral:lncRNA from 1 species